rnacentral:lncRNA from 1 species
ACUUAGAAAACCAGACUUGGUUUUUUGAUAUUCACAGGAUUGGUUCAUUUUUCUUUUCCUGCUCCUUUUUCCUGAGAAUGUUGCUGUGUAAUUUUAUAUCAGUACUGAAUAAAACCAAAACAUUUGGUUAGUUAGAGAUUUUCUGUUUGUUUGGGGUUUGGGUUUUUUUUGCUUUAAUUUAGAACCUCAGGAUCCAGCGAGCUGUAGGCCGAUCCAGAGAGGGUAAUGCAUUUCCUCUCAGUUUAAAGCUGCAAGUAAGCCUUCUGGAGGAGGACCAAGCAGCAGUGCAGAAAGAUGGUGUCCCGCAGACAGAAAAAGAAGGCUCUUUCACAGGCUAUCAUUACUCUGCUGCAGUCGUGGUUUUCUCCACCAUCAGUGGUCUUGUUACUGUCGAGUCAGAUGGAACCAUCUGUGGCAUCAAGGAUAGUUUUGCUUUAAUGCUCUUCGGCUAUGAGAAGAAAGAACUGUUGGGAAAGAACAUUACAUUCCUGAUCCCUGGUUUCUAUAACAACAUGGAGAGAAGCAGUGACUAUUCUUUGCCAUUACCUCCUCUUGACGACUCCAUGGGGACAGAGGGUGAGUGCAUCUUUGAAGAUGUUACUGCCUGCCAUACAACUGGCUCUGGCUGCUGGAACAAAGACAGCAGCUUCUUGGCUGCAUCUUUAGCAAGCCUUCUGUCAAGAGAUGAAGAGCAGGAAUUGCAACAAAGACACGAAGACGAUAAAUUAAUACAUGAUGAAACUAAACAAAAGAAUGGGACUGGUUUAUUUUCUACUCUCUCACCUCCUGCAGUGGCAUCCACACCCUCUAAUAGGUAGGCAUUUCAUGGACUGCAUAUUCACUUUAAAAAAUUAAGAGCCAUGGUGGCAAUCAUCAGCAAAAACUGUUUUUUCACCUCUAUGUUGUCUGUGGGAAGGUGUAAUAAGACCCUUCCACACUUUGCUCUCUUUAGAAUCUGAGCACUAUUUGCAAGACAGGUUGAGUUUUGCCUACCUUAGAUUUUUGUUUAGAUCUGUACAAUCUACAGUUGUAAAGUUAUAGGAGUUUCAUCUCUAACGGCUACCAAAUGCUUCACCCAAGCUAGGGAAGGUAAUUAGGUUCUAUCUUUGCUAGAUCAGAAGCAGUGGAUGUUUAUCUCCUUCCAUGGUAUCCACCACCAGCUGGUGUUGCACUGAAGCCAGCUUACCUGGAAUGAAUUCUAAAUGUUAUUCCUUCCAGCACUCAGUGUAACUGUCAGGUCAUCCAUUAAAACAGGGUACUGUGUUACUUAAGUCCAGCCA